rnacentral:rRNA from 1 species
GAGGGGUAUAGUUCUUCGGAACUAGAGACCGGCGCACGGGUGCGUAACGCGUAUGCAAUCUACCUUUUACAGAGGGAUAGCCCAGAGAAAUUUGGAUUAAUACCUCAUAGUAUAGCUGUACCGCAUGGUACUACUAUUAAAGAUUUAUCGGUAAAAGAUGAGCAUGCGUCCCAUUAGCUAGAUGGUAAGGUAACGGCUUACCAUGGCUACGAUGGGUAGGGGUCCUGAGAGGGAGAUCCCCCACACUGGUACUGAGACACGGACCAGACUCCUACGGGAGGCAGCAGUGAGGAAUAUUGGUCAAUGGGCGCAAGCCUGAACCAGCCAUGCCGCGUGCAGGAUGAAGGUCCUAUGGAUUGUAAACUGCUUUUGUACAGGAAGAAACACUCGGACGUGUCCGAGCUUGACGGUACUGUAAGAAUAAGGAUCGGCUAACUCCGUGCCAGCAGCCGCGGUAAUACGGAGGGUGCAAGCGUUAUCCGGAUUCACUGGGUUUAAAGGGUGCGUAGGCGGGCAGGUAAGUCAGUGGUGAAAUCCUGGAGCUCAACUCCAGAACUGCCAUUGAUACUAUCUGUCUUGAAUAUUGUGGAGGUAAGCGGAAUAUGUCAUGUAGCGGUGAAAUGCUUAGAUAUGACAUAGAACACCCAUUGCGAAGGCAGCUUACUACGCAUAUAUUGACGCUGAGGCACGAAAGCGUGGGGAUCAAACAGGAUUAGAUACCCUGGUAGUCCACGCCCUAAACGAUGGAUA